UUUCUUGAUAUGGGCAGACACGGGAUCCGGGUUCUGACCCGGAUAUAAAUACCAUCUAAAUCACGCUCCUUUUGUAAUCCCUGUUCUAAACCCUAGCCUCUCCAUCCUUCCUCUUUCGCCGUCGCUUCUCAUCGUGCCAUGAAAAUAUGCCCGGAAUUAGGUUAAGGAUGCGACUUUUGACCAGAAUCCUCUUCAGCAUCAAGUCAAUAUAGUUAUGCUAUUGUUAAGGAAAAUAUGCUAUCCACUCAAUCACCAGAUGCCAAAAUCAUCAAAGAAGGGCAGUUUGUAAUUAGGGCUCGAAACCUUCGAGCGGCUACUGGGUUUAUUCCGCUUAAGAACACGGAUAAGAACAACGUCAACCACUUCAUCACUCUGACGGACCUUGGAAUUGCAAAGCUCAGAAUUAACAUCAGACCCGGGGCUGUGAAAAUUGUUGUUGAAUAGUUUAAAAGUAUUUGAUUAUUGGUUAAUAAACAUCAGACAUCUUAUGAGUGCAGAGAAACACUUAAGCGGAGUUCAAUCCAAGCUAUAAUAUAGCUUUACUCUGUUUGUAGCGUGCCUUAAGAAUCGCAAACAAUGCUCAAUAAAUGGCGAAUGUGACAAAAGGUAACAACUGGUCAAUCAUCCUCUUUAUCGAGAUUUUACAAGUAAGUAACACUAGGUACCUAUACUUCUUCGAUAAGGGAAACACCAAAUCACGGUUUCUUUAAUUCAUGGACUUAUUGAAUUAGUUACAACUGAAAUACAAAGCGACACCACCACAUCAGAUCUAGCUACUUAUGCUUUUUUUUCAGUACGGUCCGCUAUAUCUAGCCGCAAAAGGCCAAGGGCGGAGCCAAUGCAGAGAAAUUCGAGUAGAUCAAAUUGAAUGUCAUUCCAAAUUUUGUUAGGGAUGCUCACACAAAGAAAGAGGUUUUGCAAGAUGGGAGACACAAGCAUAUCAGCACUCAGAGAUAGGGGAGUCCAUUACGUUAAACGCAAGUGGAUUCCAGAAAUAGGGAGAAUGAAACCCAUUACCAACUGAUUGACAAACAGGUUUAGUCUGUCAAUAUUCACCUAUAAUAGGUAUAAUGUAUCGGUUGGAGUGAUUUGAUGAGAGGCGGGGACAUGUCAAUUGGUGAUCUUUGUGUUUUUAAAUGGUCAAUGAGCGAAGGGAAGCUCUUAGUUGCAAAUCCUCCAAAACAUAUAGUAUCGGACUAAACUUUUCUUAACGAGUUUAAUGUUUUCAUUCGUCUAUUUACUUAUUUUUAGUAUUGUAUUGUUUUCUUAUUGUGUAGAUAUUUGAAUAUGCUUUUUGUGGUUAAUACUUUAACUAAUUAUUCAAUUGUUUUAUUAAUUAUUAAAAUUUUAAUAUAAUGUAAUUUAUAAACAUGAAUCAUAAGCAAUCAAUAAAUUAUAAUAAGUUAUAAGUCUGGUUACAAGUUUAUAACCCAUGAAUAAGUUUAUGAAAAGUUUACAUCUCUUAUUAUACCAAAGACAUUUAACAUGCAGUUUCUUUCGGCUCUAAGGUAGAUGUGCUUCUCAAAUUAUAUGCAAUUAAUAGUAUUUUCUUCAUGUUUCUUGUGGGUUUUGAAACCAAAUUGUUUUUUUUUUAAAUUCUGAAGCUGCUCAAAGACUUCAAUUGUAUAUUAGCAGUCAUCAAAGAAACCUAGAAAUUUACAUCAGUGACCUUUUUACCUUAUUUUUUCUCUUCUCUAAAGGGAAAUUGGAUUUUAAUAAUAGAGGUGUUUGGCCAAUACUGAUCCUGCUUUAAAAAUAUUGUCAUUGGCAGUUUCAUCUUUUAAAUAUUUUUUUUCCUCACUGGACCUCUGUUACUUUUUUUUUUCAAAUUUCAAAUAUUGUUAUUGGCAGUCCCAUCUUUUAGCUUAGUUGUAGUCAAGAUGUUUGAUGAAAUUACUCUAUGACACACAGUUUGCUAUAUAGUUACGUUUUAUGGCACCCAGGUUGCUUUUAAUCAAAAAGUUAAGGCCACAAGUGUGACAUUAGGAGGUGACAUAUAUUAACCAAGUUGACUUUUGACUGGUGGUUCUCGCAAUGAAAUGGCAAAAAGGAUCGAGCAUAAUAUUUCAAAUACAUGAGAGGUGAAGGCAUUUGGUCUUUUAUCUGAGGAGGAAAUUGCUAAGGGGAUAGAGUUACUGCUGUAACAACAUAAUAUGCUUUUGAAGAUAUUACGAAGGUGUCUGAGCUUUAGAUGGAAGUUGAUCGGGCAUCCAAGUUGGAAGGAAGCUUCUUGAACAGAAAGUGACUGCUUUGAAUGGUCAAGUAGAAUUUGCCACUAUUCCAACAACAAAGAAGCCCGAUCUCAAGGCAAAAUUCUCCACCCUUCAGCUGUAUGGAGAAUGGUGUGGAUUGUGGUGUUUGGAGGAUGACGAGUCAAGGAACCCGAGUCAACUCAGUCAACUAAGCCGACUUGGUCAACACAGUCAAUGAGUUACACUUGGCAAAUAUACAGAUAGAGUUUUGGGAGAGGUAUAGCGCCUUUGUAAUACAACUUCAGGUAAACCUGUUUAAAAAUUCACCAUGAUGUUUCUGAAGGUGAAAACAUACAUUCUUGGUAAACAGAGAAAGCGUAGUCAGUUAGUUGAAUUUGGAAAAAGGUAUACCUUCUUUUCGUUAUUUUCAUGCUUUUGAGACUAAUUUUAGGUUGAAUUUUUCCUUUUUUAGCCAAGUAGUUAUCUUCACUUUCCUAUAAAUACUUUGAGCAUGACAUGAGUUUGUGGUUCAACAUGUGACCUUAUAUGUUUACACAGUUAAUUGCAAUUUUCAUAUCAUUAGAUGUCUAGAUAGCUUUGUUCAUUUGUGUUAAAGGGAUCUUACUCGAAAUGAAGAAAAUAAAAAUUAAAUAAGAGGUGCCAAUUUUGUAUAUAAAUGAGACAGAAUGAUGGAUAAAUUUAUUUGUUUAUUGAUUAAAGAUGAUUUAUAGUUUGGUUCAACUCAAUUGAAUGAGAUGUGGAUUAUUUGUUUCAUCUGGGUAUAUUGGAUCAAUUAAAAUCGCGGUUACAAGUUGAAACCAACAUCGUUUACUGGUGUCAUGUAUGUGGAAAAUGAAGAAGCAGUUUAGAAGGUUGUGGCUGCUAUUAAUUCAGUUGUUGUUGGGGUUGACUCUUUAAGGUAAAAAUGUGAAAAGUGCCUUCAUACAUUUUAGAAAAAAAAAAAUUGACAGUAGCUUUUCUUGUAAGUUAUAAUACUUUUAAAAACUAAUCAAAUUAAUGAUGUUCUAUACAGAUGUAAGUGAACUUCAUAGAAUCAUGAAGUUCACUUCAUUGACCUUUUAUACUAAAAGGAAAACAUAUGCUUCAUUGUAUCGAUUAUUGUAAGAAAAUAAUAUGUCUAUGGAUAGCGACUGGAAGUAUCUCUUCCCUGUUAUGUGUUUAUACUGAUACAAUUGGUUAUGCCAUGGGUUCAUCUAGGCCAAAAUUCAAUUGGAAAAUUCAGACAAGUUGGUCUGGUGAUGUAGGUGUAGAUGAGACUCGUGUGGAGCCCAAUGAAAUCGACCUGGUUAUGACUCAAAAUGGCUGUCAAGAUCAAAUGUUGUGAAGGCUUUUAAAAGGCUGCAAAUGCUGACAUUGUCAACGGAGAUAUGAAGGUCAUUUUAUUCUCAUAUGUGUCAAGGGAAACAUGGGUAUUCAGAAGUUAAGUGUGAAGGCAUCUAUUUACAACAUGACGAAGAUUAGUGAUCGGGAGUCAUUUGUGUUCCUUAGUUACUAAUUUUUAGUUCGAUCAUAUCUCUUGCUUAUCUCUUAUAACCAUCCUACUCAUGAUAUCGUAUGGCAUUGUAGACUGGGAGACCAAUUGUGCAUGGGUUGGGCCGCAAAAGGGAGAGUAUGGAGUUAAAAGAAAUGUUGAAGGAUGAACUUAAGCUCAAAAUAGCUCUUUCUGGCUGCCCCACUCUCAAUGAUUAUGGAUGUCACUUUGUUUAUGAUUUAUUAAGAGACUUCAAGAAUAUCGAAUUUUAGGUGUCUGUUAAAUCAAAGAGGACUUGCAUCUAUAACGUUGGAUGUGGUAGGGCGUGCUACACCAACUGGACUGAGCUCAUGUUACUUUUAGUAAAUUGUAAAUGUAACAUUAUUUGUCAUUUUCUUGAUGUUUUUGUACACGGCUUAUAAAGAAAACUUCAUACCUAAUGAUACAAUCCACUUUGUUACUAAUU